UUGAAGAGACGUCGCAUGAAGCGUGUGGAAUAUCAAUGACGACUGUUUUUAGCUAAAAGACCUGAAGAGUCAGCAUGAAUUCUGUUCCCAGCACAGUGAUGUCACAGACACACAGCUCAGGCAGAGUUGGUGACACUUUGAGGAGCAGCUGAAGAUCUGGGUGAGCUGAAGAGAGUGAUGCUGGGCUGACCCGAGUUAAAAGGGAUCCAGUGCAAAACAGUGGAAAGAGGGCAGGCAGGUGCCAUAGUGAAAUCCUUCCCAGGAGUCAGAGCGUGAAACAGCUGCUGUGACCAGAGAGCUGUAGCACAAGAAAAACAAGUGAGUUCUGCAGCUCAGUGACAGCAUGGCAGCAGCAUUUGGACCACAAGACACUUUUUCCAGAUGUCGCAGGAAGAGCUUCGAUCUUCUGCCACCCCACAGUGAGUUUUUAAAGAAAAGAUUAUGUUUAAUGCAAACUUUAACUGGGCAAUUUAAGGUGGAAGACAUUAGACAGGAGCAGGUGAAGACAAAAUAUAGCAGGAAGUGUGAAGCCUGUUUGGAAUCAUGAAAACCUCUUAGUGCACAGAGUCUGCUUUCUCCCUUUACAUUUAAA